GCCUGCUGGAUCACGUGCUCCUUGCUUGGCACCCACACCCAAGCCACCCAGUCUGAGAGUUUGGGAGUCAUUGCUCAGCAGGUGAAAUUAGGAUCUGUUUCUGGAGACGGGAAGAGGUGGAAGCUCUCAGGAGGCCAAGAGCAAUUUUCCAUUAGAAAUGCGAUACGAGGUUAACCUCAGCACUAUUUCCUGUACCAAGAACCCUUUCUCUCUCAAGUGUAAUCAAGAAGCUAGUCCUCUGAGUCCUUCGCAGGAGACUGGGCAAUGGGCCUGCUUUUGUAUAAACUUCUGCACUAAAUCAAAUGCUAAGUAAAUUGAGCUUCACAGGCAGUGUCUGCCCUCUACAUUCCACUUUAGAAAUUGCUGAUGACGUGACAGAACCAUCCAAAACCCCAGUAAGGCUACAGGUGCACCUGGCCCAGGAAGACGAGAGGCAGAUCUCCUAUAACUUCACUUACUCUCAAGACAAGACCCCUAGUGGAUGCACCUCACCCACUGCCAAAAAGAAGCUGACUGGAUGAGAGGGACAGAGGAGGAAUUCCCAGAAUGCCUACUUGGGAAAAUUGUUGAGUUAUAAUGGAGUGUUAUGACCUGCUGGUGAAAAACACCAUGGCAAAUUUCUUUGAACAUUUCCUGAAUGAAAUUACAAAAACAGGUCCAAGGUGGGGAACCAUGAAGACAGGUUGAAGACAGACCAAGUGUCACACCUUGGAUUAUUUUUUAUUGGCCAAUUAAGAAAAAAGAAACUGUCUGGGAAGCAAAUGUCUCUUAUUGAACAAAUCAAAACAAUGAGAAGCUCUGGAGACUGGAAAUCCAAAAUCAAGGCGCCGGCAUGACUGGUUUCUCCCGAGACCUCCCUUCCGGCUUGCAGCUGGCUGCCCUCUUGCCUUUUGCAUGGUCAUCCCUCUGUGCAUUCACACUCCUGUUGCUGCUGCUUCUUUCUGGUGUACACGAAGCAUGGCUCCAGCAUCUGCUUCUGCUGAGGGCCUCAGGGAGCUGCCAACCAAGGUGGAAGGUCCCAGAAGGGGAGCAGGCCUACUACGUGGUGAGAGAGAAACAAAGAGAGAGAGGAAGGAAGAAGGUGCCAGACUCUUUCCAACAACCAGCUCUCGGAUGCACUAAUAGGCCAGCCAUACCACGAAGGAGCGAGACCAAUUUACAUUCUCACCAAUAGCAUACAGUGUUCCAGUUGUUCCAUAUCCUCACCAGCAGUUUAAAUGUAUAAUUGCACUUAUUUGAAGUUCAAAAACAUGCAAAUCAAAGGAAUAUCUUAUUUCUCAGUAUAUUCAUAUUGGAGGAACCGUAAAGAGAAAUAAUGGAAGUAAUAAAGAGGAUGGAAUUGGACAGGGACCGAUAGAAGCCUUCAAAGAUUUAGAAUCUUCAAUGUACGUAUUCUGCACACACCAUUGUAAAUGGAUUAAUGAUGAAUUAAUGCAAGUUUCAUUAAGAAGACAAGAUUAUGCAGAACAACUCUUUUGUUCCCUGUACUAUGCUUCUCACUAUAAACACUCAGACAAAUAAGGUCAACUGAAUCAGAAUCUCCAGAGGAUACGAAGUAGGUAUUACGUUUUUCAGGUGAUUCCAAUGAACAUGCUGAAAUGGAAGAUGUAUAAAUUACUGAUAUGAAAGACAUACAAAAAAUACUGUCUCGACCUCAAGAUGUUAAUUCUAGGCUGAAAUUCUGGAUCUGCUACUUAUUACUAUAUUACAAGGAGUGAGUUAUACG